GACGAACGCUGGCGGCGUGCUUAACACAUGCAAGUCGAACGGAAAGGCCCUGCUUUUGUGGGGUGCUCGAGUGGCGAACGGGUGAGUAACACGUGAGUAACCUGCCCUUGACUUUGGGAUAACUUCAGGAAACUGGGGCUAAUACCGGAUAGGAGCUCCUGCUGCAUGGUGGGGGUUGGAAAGUUUCGGCGGUUGGGGAUGGACUCGCGGCUUAUCAGCUUGUUGGUGGGGUAGUGGCUUACCAAGGCUUUGACGGGUAGCCGGCCUGAGAGGGUGACCGGCCAGAUUGGGAGUGAGAUACGGCCCAGACUCUGAUGGGAGUCAGUAGUGGGGAGUAUUGGGUAGUGUGCGGAUGCCUGAUGCAGCAACGCAGGGUGCGGAAUGACGGCCUUCGUGUUAUAAGUAUCUUUGUCUUGUGACGAAGCGUGCGUCUCGGGACUGGGUAAAUAAGCACCGGCUAACUACUUG
rnacentral:rRNA from 1 species